UUGCACUGGAUAUCGAAUCAAACGGGAAGAG
rnacentral:piRNA from 1 species